UACGUAGGGGGCAAGCGUUGUCCGGAAUCAUUGGGCGUAAAGAGCGUGUAGGCGGUCCGUUAAGUCGGCUGUGAAAGUCCAAGGCUCAACCUUGGGAUGCCGGUCGAUACUGCCGGACUAGAGUUCGGAAGAGGCGAGCGGAAUUCCUGGUGUAGCGGUGGAAUGCGUAGAUAUCAGGAAGAACACCGGUGGCGAAGGCGGCUCGCUGGGCCAGUUCUGACACUCAUCCGCGAAAGCGUGGGGAGCAAACAGG
rnacentral:rRNA from 1 species